rnacentral:pre_miRNA from 1 species
AUAAUGAAAAACGUUGACUGUCAAAUGUCAUAAUCCUAUUGGAUGUUAAAAUGGUAUACGAAAAUUCACGUCCAAUAUGAUUAUGACAUAUGACAGUUAACGUUA